GGGGAUGUAGCUCAGUUGGGAGAGCAUCACGUUCGCAACGUGGGGGUCGUGGGUUCGAAUCCCAUCAUCUCCACCA
rnacentral:tRNA from 5 species